UACAGAGGUCCCGAGCGUUGUUCGGAUUUAUUGGGCGUAAAGGGUGCGUAGGCGGUGGGGUAAGUUGGAUGUGAAAUCUUGGGGCUUAACCUCAAAAUUGCAUUCAAUACUGCUCCGCUCGAGUUCUGUAGAGGAGAUUGGAAUUUACGGUGUAGCAGUGAAAUGCGUAGAUAUCGUAAGGAACGCCAGUGGCGAAAGCGAAUCUCUGGGCAGCAACUGACGCUGAGGCACGAAGGCCAGGGGAGCAAACGGG
rnacentral:rRNA from 1 species